UACGGAGGAUGCGAGCGUUAUCCGGAUUUAUUGGGUUUAAAGGGUGCGUAGGUGGUUAAUUAAGUCAGCGGUGAAAGUUUGUGGCUCAACCAUAAAAUUGCCGUUGAAACUGUUUUUCUUGAGUGAAGUAGAGGCAGGCGGAAUUCCGAGUGUAGCGGUGAAAUGCAUAGAUAUCACGCAGAACUCCGAUUGCGAAGGCAGCUUACUAAACUAUAACUGACACUGAAGCACGAAAGCGUGGGGAUCAA
rnacentral:rRNA from 1 species